rnacentral:lncRNA from 1 species
UUCAUCUUUCUUCUCGAGUUGAACCCAAAUCGAACCCAGCCCAAAUCGCUGAGCGAGCAAGCGAGCCGGGAGAGAGACCUAGCAUAGUAUUUUCGAAAACAAAAGCCAUACCUAGAGAGAAGAUAGAGAGAAGAAAAACCAAAACGAAAUUUCGAAAUAGAAAUUAGAAAAAUUGGAAUUACGAAUUUUCAAAAUUCACUUGUAUUACACACACACUCUCGCAUACAACGCUGUUUCUUAUCAUGGAUUACAUUUGCUAUCCCGCUUUGUGCAUUAGGGCAAAUUCUUCUCGUUGUUGAUUGGGGCCUAAACACUUGGUUUCUUCAUCUCGAAAACCCUAGGAGAGAGUCCCACUGUGGGGUUUCAGGUGUCCUAGCUACGAAUUUCAUUAUUCAGUUAUCAAUUCAGGUGAUUCUUGUUCCAAUUUUGGGUUGUUUUCGAAACCCUAGAAUCUGGUGACGUGGAAUUUUGUGCAUUUGCGUCAAUUCAAUGUCUUUAGGGUUUCUUUUGAAGGUCUAGAGAUGUGAAUUCGUUUGUGUUAGGGUUUGGGGAGGCCUUCUGGUUCAAUGUUAGUUGUUUUAUGUGCAUGCUUUCGUUUAGGCCAAGUCUAAUGCUAAAAUUUGGUCUGCUUAUUGGGAAACUGGGGUUUGUGUUCCGUUUGGUAAACAAGUGGAUUUUACUGUUUAGUGGAUGUUUUGAAGGUGCACGCCUGAUAAUUUGAGGAGAAUUACUUGUGCUGAGUGUCUUUCAAGCAUUAUUACUUAUUAUGCACAUGUACUUGCUAUGAAGUGCAACCAGUUAUGUGCUAUCCAUUUGACAUUGCUUUAGAUACUCAUAUUAAUUAUGGAUAGUCCUUUUCCUUGAUUGAACUUUUAACUUUUGCAUUUGACUUCCAUGUUUAGUUGCAGCAUUUUGUUUGUUGCUGUAAUCAUUGAUUGUUCAUCAAGUUUUAUGUGGUCUUGCAACAACCUUGAGAUUUUAAUGUGCUGCUACUAUAUUGAUAUGAUCAAGUUUUAGUACACAUGCUUUUAUGUUAGGCUUUUAUGGAAAUUGGACAAUAUAGGUUUGAUUUUUGAAUCUUCACGCAUGAUGUUUCCUCUUUCUUUUGAAGUUUUACUGGAUAAUUUUCAAAUAGUUGAGACAUACAUUGCCUUGCCUUCAGGAUAAUUCAUUUUAAAGCGUGGCUUCUACGUCAAUUAUUAAUUGUCUUCUUUAUGGAUGUGUCAUGGCAGUUUUCUUCUUAAUCAAUCUGUGAAUACAAGCAGGUGACAUCACUGGAUGUUUAUUAUUAUUAUAAACAUGUAAAUAAAUUUUAUUUAACGUUAUGUUCAAUUCAAUCAUUUAUAUUCUUAUAAAAAUUUAAUAAUAAGAUUAACUAAACACAUAUGACUAUUUUUAAAACUUACAACACUUUCAAAAAUAAAUUUUACGAAAUAUUUAAUUGAUUCUUUUCACAGUUGAUUAUUAAUUAUUUAUAUAGUAUAGUUAACAACAAUUAUUUUAAAAAAUACAGUAUUAUGAAAUUGAUCUUUAACAUUAUAAUACACAUGCGCACACACGCAAAGAUACUUGCUAUUUGACAUAAAAGUGAACUAUUUGUUUGUAAAAUUAGAUCAAUAAAAAAAAAUAUUUUUAAUUAAAAUAUUUUUAAAUAUAAUUUUACGAAAUUUUGUUAAUUUAUAUUAUACCGUUCAUCUUUCUCUUAGCCUAUAAAUGAUUGCACAUCGAGAUAGAAGAAAACUAGAGAGGCAGUAACAGAAAUAAAUAAAUAAAUAAAUAAAAAUCCCAAAAUGGACUAAAUUUGUCUAAAGCCCCUCACGUUCAUCUUUCUUCUCGAGUUGAACCCAAAUCGAACCCAGCCCAAAUCGCUGAGCGAGCAAGCGAGCCGGGAGAGAGACCUAGCAUAGUAUUUUCGAAAACAAAAGCCAUACCUAGAGAGAAGAUAGAGAGAAGAAAAACCAAAACGAAAUUUCGAAAUAGAAAUUAGAAAAAUUGGAAUUACGAAUUUUCAAAAUUCACUUGUAUUACAC